UCUAGAUGCUUUGUUGUUCAGCAAGCUGGGUACUUACUAAUUCUUCUUUCACUUAUAGGAGCCUGGGGGAACUCCAAAACUUUUAUUGAUGUUUGAUUGCACCAAGUGCUCGGCCCGGAUUGCGGUGAAAACUGACGAAGAACGCAGAACCUUUUGCGUUGCAUCUGGUGCUACACGAGCUUUUUGAACCCGGAAUGGCAUGAAUGAGGAGGAAUAUAUUGAGUCAUUGUAUAAAGAGGCUAUGCAAAGGAGAUCUCUAGACAACAGUGCUGGUGGCCGAUACUUGGGUUUGGUACUGCAGAGGGACAUAUGGGUUAAAAUACUUGUCGAUUCUCAUGAGGAACAAGGAAAAUGCACGGAUGGUUUUGUACAGUGUUCAGGAAAGGAUUGAAGAACUCGAUGAAAAGAUUCCUUUCGAUCAGCUUCCACCUAAGAAUAAGUGGAGAAAUGAGAUAAUUAUGGAGAAGUUCAUGUCCGAGCUUGAGGCUUUAGUCAAGGAAAAUUACCCAGAGAAAUUAAAGGUGACUAAGUAUUAACAAUGAAGAUUUAAGAGGAUGACGGAGAAGUGUCUGAGUGAAGACAUAAAUGCUCAUUCUUAUAGCAGGGAGUUCUUCAACUUGUGUUUUUAUCGUAUUUCAUCGAGAGAGCAAGGGGAUUGUUCUUUGUUUAUGGUGACUCUUUUUCUGUAGAUUUAGAAUUUAGUAGUGGGAUGAAUAUUUUAGGGCAUGUGUCCGAGUAUUAUGCCUGGUAUAAUAAUGACAUAAGUUAGAAAAUCCAAGAAUGUAACAUGAGUUAGCAGCAAGAACUCAAAUUUAGAGACCAAAUUUAAUGGACUUUUAGUUCAGGAAUCAAAAUUUCAAUUUGGUGAUAAUUCAGGAACUAUUGCCAAUUUCCUCUUUAGGUUAAGACUAGAUAUGUUGAAGCUUCUGCCUUUCUAGUUUCUACGAUGAUAAAAAUUCCCUUCCUUCGCCCUUAACACGUGGGAGCACCUAUGCCAAGAGGUAGUGAAAGGCAAAUCCAUCAAUUUAGUGUUCGACAAAAAAAAAAAAAAAAAAAAAAAAAAAAAGAGAAAAGAAAAAGAGGAUUAAGUAGAAAAAUGAAGGGCCUUUCCAUGAAAUCAAUGUUAAUUAAAAGUGUUUUUAACUCAGUUUGGGUGCCACAUCUAUCUAUAAAUUAAGAGAGAAAACCUUGUAAUGAAACCAUAAAUUUAUAGAACUGUGUCAUUUAAAAACUUUAGCUGCCUAGAGAGAAAAGCAAAUAAAAUCUUCCCCUGCCUUUUGUCUUGGGGUCUACAGCAACCAUUCUUAGUGUCUUUUCUAUUCCUACUUUUACUUUCGUGCAAAUUGUUGCUGUAAAAUGCCGUAGUCAUCGAGAUAGUAGUUAUCUUUUGGCUCACACACACAUUCCACACAAGAUUUUGGCCCCAGUUGUCACUUUCGAUGGAGUUGAAAAACUCAUGGCACAAUCUCUUGGUUAGUGUCUCAC